rnacentral:rRNA from 1 species
GUGGGGAAUAUUGGACAAUGGGCGAAAGCCUGAUCCAGCCAUGCCGCGUGUGUGAAGAAGGCCUUCGGGUUGUAAAGCACUUUAAGCGAGGAGGAAAGGUUGAAGGUUAAUACCCUUUAGCUGUGACGUUACUCGCAGAAUAAGCACCGGCAAACUUCGUGCCAGCAGCCGCGGUAAUACGUAGGGUGCAAGCGUUAAUCGGAAUUACUGGGCGUAAAGCGUGCGCAGGCGGUUUUGUAAGACAGGCGUGAAAUCCCCGGGCUCAACCUGGGAAUUGCAGGUCGAACUGCUUGGCUAGAGUAUGGUAGAGGGGUGUGGAAUUCCAGGUGUAGCGGUGAAAUGCGUAGAUAUCUGGAGGAACAUCAGUGGCGUAGGCGACACCCUGGACCGAUACUGACACUGAGGUGCGAAAGCGUGGGUAGCGAACAGGAUUAGAAACCCUUGUAGUCC